UACGUAGGGGGCAAGCGUUGUCCGGAUUUAUUGGGCGUAAAGAGCGUGUAGGCGGCCCGACAGGUCCGUUGUGAAAACUCGAGGCUCAACCUCGAGACGUCGAUGGAAACCGUCGGGCUAGAGUCCGGAAGAGGCGAGUGGAAUUCCUGGUGUAGCGGUGAAAUGCGCAGAUAUCAGGAGGAACACCAAUGGCGAAGGCAGCUCGCUGGGACGGUACUGACGCUGAGACGCGAAAGCGUGGGGAGCAAACAGG
rnacentral:rRNA from 1 species